rnacentral:tRNA from 2 species
GUCCCCAUCGUCUAGAGGCCUAGGACACCACCCUUUCACGGUGGACACGGGGGUUCGAAUCCCCCUGGGGACGCCA